AGGUUUAGUUGCUCUCAGGCAUGGAAGAUAAAGGGCACCUACUGAACACUUCCCGUCUGGAGCUACAUGUAGCAUAAAGAGAGAAUGAACCUACAGGAGCUCAUCAUUAAUAUAAGUGUUGUUCCACUUCACAGUUGACCAAGAACUACUGUCACCACUGCCAAUGACAAGUGUGUAACUAAAGGCACACAUGCUCUUAGGAUGGACACCUGUAAGCCAAAGAGAGAACGACUGGCAGGACCAUCAACUACUAUUUAAAUGCUACAGGCUAAAUCUAGAUUUGCUGAAUGGAGAAAUCAUCUCAAGAUGGAGCUUAUAAUAUCUCAUACAGAACAAGUAUUGGAACAGAAAAUGUGCAAUAGGAAACUGAUGCAAACACUUCAUGCCAUGUGAUGUGACACUGAAUAUUCCUGAAGUGCUCCAACUUUGGUUUGUCUUGCUGCACGCUGUCUUCAAGUCUGCGUCAGAGUCCCUGGUGUGGAGGGCAUCUUCUCAACCUACUCAUUCCUCUGGGAUUUGA
rnacentral:lncRNA from 1 species